UUAAACUAAUCCAAAUGGCUAAUUUCCAGUUUGCGAACGAGGUUGUUUACAUGUUGGCGUUGUUCUUGAAUUUACAUAGUACUUUAAAAUAGAAAAAUCUUGAUUUGCGAUGGUUGCAUGAUAUUCAUUCUUCAUUAUCGAUAUAUCUUUUUCGAAUCGAAGGCAAGCUUGCGAAGGAACGUUAGUUGCCGGCAAGGUAUGGAUACUUAACUUGGACAAACUAUCGCAUAAUAUAAUACUUGUAUAUCGGCAUGUAUACUACAUGUAGUCAAAAUAUGUUAUGCAAAUUUUGUUCGUAUACAUUAACAUAAGCGCUGCGAAAGAAAAUAUUAUGCAGUAAAUAGCCAAAACCUGCGCUUGAUUUUCCCCAAUUUUCAGACAAUCGUCCACAAAAUAUUUGAGACAAACCCCCUCCCCCGAUUUCAAUGUUGUUAGGCACUACAAUAUAGUUUAAUUCCAACAUCAUAUGUUAAAUUUCAA